GAUGUGAUCAUCAUGUUAUGCGCUCCGUAUGCUUUAACUGGUUUUAUUGAUAGAAGCAAUAUUUUUCUUUUAGAGAGCAAAUUUGGUGCCAGUGGCGUCAGCAAUUCCAGCUCCAACGACGUAUAUUAAAGUGGUUGCGGUUAAAACGUUCGCAGUGGAAUUUGUGCUCCAUACGGGUAGUGCAGCUGUAAUUCGAGCAUCCCUUUUCUAAGAAAGCGUAUUAUCAGCGGACUUCUUAUGCAUAAUUGCAUUCUUUGCGUAUUCCUUUUAUUUAACCCUGCUUCAAUGCUCUUCAUCGAGCGUUUUGCGGGCUGAUGGGUUGCUCGGAAAGAUAUUUCUUUUUUUGGCCAAAAUAAAAGCGAUUUUCUUAUAGUGUCGUUUCGUACCACCAUGAACGGUCGAAUUCGAUAAAUUUAAUCUCUCAGCGAUUUUACGACUUGCUAUUCGGCCGUUUGCAUCAAUGAAUGGCUUUAUCUUAUCGUCAUCAGCUCGAUGUGAUCUUCCAGAACGCGGUGCACCUGCAAAAAUUGCCAGAUCGAAAUUUUUGCAAAGUAGUUUUGUCACAAGCGAUCUGUCAAUACAUCUUCUGCAUACACAUCACGUAAUUUUUUUCUUGCUUGAAAAGCAUUUUUACUUCUUCAACAGUGAAACAGCGAAAUAAGUCCAACUUGCUGACAUUCUAUAUUUUAAAGGACACCAACCGACAAUUACCGCGUACAAUCAAUCGAACUUUUUCACAAGCAAGCCUUGCUGCAUCUGUUGUCAUAAUAUAUACUGAUGCUUAAAUGUAAGGCCUCUGUGUUACUUUCAUUCCUCCUGUUACUUCCAUUCAUUCAUUCAGUCCUUAGAUCCAGAGGUAAUGAUUUAUAGGAGCAGUUUGAGGGGGUUAGUAUUACGACGCGAGAGGUAAAAUUGUUGGGUCGUCUUAAGACUAACUUAAGCGAAAACAUUUGCAAAAGAUGGUUUCAUUAAUCAAGAAGGGCAAUCAGAUACCGUUCUAUUUCAAAACGUAAGCGAUGCUAGCCAGCAAUUGGGAGAGGCCACUGUUAUAGCUCUCCAAAUCGCUUCCCGGAAAACCAAAGCUUUUGGGCUGCGGAGGAAGUAUGGUUGCAAAGCUGAAAUUUAAAGGAAUGAACGGAAGAGUACCACCAGGACUGGAGUCGAACCUCGAGUAGUUUUGAUAAACCUUCGAUGUUUUGAAAGAAGCAUAGACGUAGCUUUAAGUUUAAUUUUAUUUAAUUCGAUCUUCUCUCGCUUCGUUCGCUUGUUAUUUGUCGCGUGAGUACUCCAUCACGAAUAAAAGCCAAAUAAAGGGUCUUUAACUAAGAGCGAUUCGAGAAACAAACAACUCAACACAUCAACUUACGCAUUGCACUUAUGUUUUUCACAUCUGGCAGCACACAAAGAAAUAUUCGAAGCUGGAAAUUAGAACAUUAGAAAGUAUCGUUCUUAGUGGAAGACAUUCUACUUUAGAGAAAUAUUACCUUUGCUAAGAUGAGUAACUUUUUCUCACAUGUAAUCCAUAUUUGCGGACCCAUUAGGUAUCUUUUUAUCUCGUUAAGGCCUCGCCAUCGUCCAAAGUGCAUAUCUAAAGUGCCGCAAUUGCGCAGAUUCGUCUUCAAUACUGUCUUCGCGGUGUGUCCAAAAAGAGUGCAAAAUUGAAUGCAAGCUUCUUAACGUGACAUUUUCCAAAAAAAUUUGUGCUCUAUAAGAAGUGCACUAAUUAUCCAACUAAACUAAACGAUGCACAUUAGAAAGGUUGUGUGUAAUUGAAUGAUUGUUCUCUUAAAGAUUACGUUUUAGUGCAGUUUUUAAGAGCCUUUAGAG
rfam:Glossina morsitans morsitans, isolate Yale, WGS project CCAG01000000 data, contig: ctg10018569